CCCAGACUCCUACGGGAGGCAGCAGUGGGGAAUAUUGCACAAUGGGGGAAACCCUGAUGCAGCGACGCCGCGUGAGUGAAGAAGUAUCUCGGUACGUAAAGCUCUAUCAGCAGGGAAGAUAAUGACGGUACCUGACCAAGAAGCCCCAGCUAACUACGUGCCAGCAGCCGCGGUAAUACGUAGGGGGCAAGCGUUAUCCGGAUUUACUGGGUGUAAAGGGAGCGUAGACGGCAGCACAAGUCUGGAGUGAAAUCCCGGGGCUUAACCCCGGAACUGCUUUGGAAACUGUGCAGCUAGAGUGCAGGAGAGGUAAGUGGAAUUCCUAGUGUAGCGGUGAAAUGCGUAGAUAUCGCGCAGAACUCCGAUUGCGAAGGCAGCGUACCGGCGCCGGACUGACGCUGAGGCACGAAAGCGUGGGUAUCGAACAGGAUUAGAUACCCCCGUA
rnacentral:rRNA from 1 species